UACGUAGGGGUCUAGCGUUGUCCGGAAUUAUUGGGCGUAAAGAGCUCGUAGGCGGUUCGGCAAGUCGGAUGUGAAAUCUCCACGCUUAACGUGGAGGGGCCAUUCGAAACUGCCGUGACUCGAGUCCGGUAGGGGAGUGCGUAAUUCCCGGUGUAGCGGUGAAAUGCGUAGAUAUCGAGAGGAACACCAGUGGCGAAGGCGAGUCCCUGGACAACUCCUGACACUGAGGCACGAAAGCUAGGGGAGCAAACAGG
rnacentral:rRNA from 1 species